rnacentral:lncRNA from 1 species
AUGAUGAGGAGGACAGGAAUAGAUCACUGGCACUUUAAACCCGGAGUUCUCAUAUUCUCGCCGGAUCUUUCUCCUUUGCUAAUUAUUGUGUUGUUUUCAGAGCAAAUAUGUCAUAUCCAUGGCGACCAGGCAGGUUUAUUGUCUCUCCCGUGCAAUAGCACAAAAGUAAUUAAUUACCCCCCCCCCCCCCCCUUUUUUUUCCCUCUCUCCCUCCUGUCUUUGGUUAAACAGAUCAUUCAAGGAAAGCCAUCUUCUAUAUUAAAAAUGCCACUGAUAGUACAACACCAGAAAUCAGAUGGCAGUAGAGUGAGCAUCGGCCAGAGGCGAUAACUCCUCAGCGGAUUAGUCUUCAGCAGACAUUAUUCAACAGGAAGAUUCUUUCACAGGACGGCUCCGCUGCGAGAUGAGCGCUUGAGGUCAACUUUAAUGUGAAUUUUCUUUCUAUGAGGAAAAAUCUUCCAGAUGAAUGGAGAAAUGCAGCUUAAGUAAGUGAGAGCAAUCUGCAUUACUCAAACUGCACUUUUUAACUCCCGCCGCCAGUAUAUUAUCUACACAGUCUUUAAAAUCCCUUUCCAGCCAUCACUGUUUCACAACCAGCAUCAAGAAAUAAGUGGCUUCCUUCAUAACGCAUUCAACAAUAUGAGAGUAUGGCUGUGGUGUCAACUCCUUUUUAGUGUGAAUUUUCCCCCCACAUUAAAUGUAAGCUGUUAUAGGGCCCAGAGGAGCUCAGUAGUCUAUUUUCCAAUGAUGUUGUCAGCCAUGUGGCUUACACCCCUGAGAGGUGAAGGUAAUCAGCCUUUUCAUCUCCAGAGAAGAGGCAAUGUCGAGGUCCUGGCUGACUCCAUAUUUUCCUCAGCCGUCCUCGCCGUGUUUGAGCAAAGCGUCGCUCUUUAUGGAUUAAAUCUUUAAUACUUAACUGGAGCCAUCUCCCUAACCGUGCUUUAGUGUGACACCAUGUUUGAUGAUGAUUGUUAUGAUUUUGAUGAUGAAUAUGUUUGUGUGUUAACAAAACAAAUGGCUUGUUUUUGGAUUAUGAGCACAAAUUCUGGUUAAAGUCUGUAUCCACGGGUUAAAGGUUUCACCUUUACAGUUACAUUGAGAUGUAUCAUUUUAUCAUCAUGUAUAAUAUAUAAAUAUGGCAGCGUGUUGUUAUUUAAGUCUCCAGCCUAUUCAAGUAAAUGUGUGUUCUCACUUCAAACCUCGACCUGGAUUUUUUAAUGCAUCAUAUUUCAUUUUUAAUUUU